rnacentral:misc_RNA from 1 species
UACAGAGGUCCCGAGCGUUGUUCGGAUUCACUGGGCGUAAAGGGUGCGUAGGCGGUAGGGUAAGUCUGGUGUGAAAGCUCGCAGCUCAACUGCGAAAUGGCAUUGGAUACUAUCCUGCUAGAGGCUUGGAGGGGGGACUGGAAUUCUCGGUGUAGCAGUGAAAUGCGUAGAUAUCGAGAGGAACACCAGUGGCGAAGGCGAGUCCCUGGACAAGACCUGACGCUGAGGCACGAAAGCUAGGGGAGCAAACAGG